AGGGCAAGUCUGGUGCCAGCAGCCGCGGUAAUUCCAGCUCCAAUAGCGUAUAUUAAAGUUGUUGCAGUUAAAAAGCUCGUAGUUGAAUUUCGGGGUCAGCAGGUUGGUCGUGCCAAUGGUAUGCACUGGCCUUGCUGAUUCCUCCCUCUUGAUGAGCCGUAAUGCCAUCAAUUUGGUGUUGUGGGGAAUCAGGACUGUUACUUUGAAAAAAUUAGAGUGUUUAAAGCAGGCAAGCGCUUGAAUACAUUAGCAUGGAAUAAUGAAAUAGGACGUUCGAUCCUAUUUUGUUGGUUUCUAGGAUUGACGUAAUGAUUAAUAGGGAUAGUUGGGGGCAUUAGUAUUCAAUUGUCAGAGGUGAAAUUCUUGGAUUUAUUGAAGACUAACUACUGCGAAAGCAUUUGCCAAGGAUGUUUUCAUUAAUCAAGAACGAAAGUUAGGGGAUCGAAGACGAUCAGAUACCGUCGUAGUCUUAACCAUAAACUAUGCCGACUAGGGAUCGGAUGAUGUUAAUUUUUUAAUGACUCAUUCGGCGCCUUACGGGAA
rnacentral:rRNA from 1 species